UUUGAAUGUGAUUGGAAAAGAAGACU
rnacentral:piRNA from 1 species